rnacentral:lncRNA from 1 species
GUGCUUCCUGCCCUUUUUUCUGAAAAGGCAGACACCAUAUUGCCAAUCUGAUGAUGAUUCCUGCGGAACAAAUGCAGAGAGAGGGCAAGAAGUAUUGCUUUCACUUUGAACAGGGAAAUACCUUCACACCUGUUAAUAGAGCUCACCCCAAAAAUGAAGGAAAUUUUCACAAAGUAUGGACUUUUCACAAAAAAAAAGAAGAGCGGAUACUCAGCUCUAACAUGGACAUCUUUUUUCCAGGUAGUACUUCUUUUGUGGGGAUAUUCAGUUUUUUCUCAUCAUUCAAACCAAAAUAUUUUAUUGCUAGGAAAAUGUGAUUUCCUUACCAGCCUGUGCACUGGUUACAGCCAUGUGAGAUCUAGGUCUCAGAUGCUGGCUGUGCAAGCAUGAGCUGCUCUCAACUAAGAGCUCUGGCUUGGCCUAAAUAUUCAAAUGAGCUUACAGAGACAUUUUCAUUUUGCUGGCACAUGGGAUGCUGCUCCCUGGGUCUCCCACAAAGGCCUGUUUCCAGACAGUCACUCGAUUAGCCCAUCAGCUACUCUGCUGCGUCCAGAGUUCCCUUAAAAUACAUGCUGCCACUGCCUACUAACUUAUAGAGAGUAGUACAAUUCCCUUUAUGUUGUUAAUCAAGUACACAUACACAGGGCGUUUUUUCUUUAAAAAAUGUCUAGGGCUACUCUCAUUUUGACUCAAGAAAGCCACCAUUUUAUAGUGCAAAUUGUGGGUGGGGAUACAGUAAAUGGACAAAAGUACAAAGAUUCACAAAAUGCUUAUGGGUAUGCGUCCCCCUGCGUCCCCCAGAAAAAAAGCACUGCACAUACACAAGGCAAGUGAAGUGAGACAUUUACCUCAGAAUCCACCCAGAUCAUAACAGAGCUAUGAGAGGCAGAGAGAGAAAGAAGGAAUGAGAUGAGAGACAGAAUGAGUGCAGGGGUUGUGCCAAAUUGAUUGCCAUCUAGGAUCUGCGACUGUGACCCCUAAGGCUUUCCCCCAUGUUAUAUGAAGGCCUUUCUUGGAGGUUUCUAAGCAGAGGUUGGAUGGCCAUCUGUCCUGUAUGAUCUAGUUGAGAUUUCUGCAUUGUAAGGGGUUGGACUAGAUGAACUUCACAGUCCCUUCCAGCUCUACAGUUCUAUAAUUCACUGAUUCUGGGGGCCACUAGGGGCGCAUUGGAAGAUGGCCAACAAUACCAUCUCUCCGGACCACACAGGGUAAUUAAGAGGCUGUUAUGGGAGUCGGCAGCCUCCCUUGUUGCCCCAAGGGAAUGGGGAACACUGCCCUUGCCUGCUGUGCCCAUAAAUCACCCCCAAAUUCAAAAGAAGGGGGUGAGGGCACUAGGCAGAAUGCCCCCGUGUGGACCCCGGUUCUCCUAGACGCUGUCUCUGAUCGCGCACUAGCUGCAGCAAUUUGGAAUAAUUAAUUACGAAAGAAGCAAAUGCACAUAUUUCAAGUGAAGAAGGGGAGUGAAGACUGCUAACAGAAGGGACCUCUGUGAAAGAAGACGACGGGUUGGAGCAACAGGAAUAUUUUACGAAGAAGACAUCAAAGGCUGGGUAUGUUGGCAAAGGGACUGGAUGGGGGGGGAAACCUUUUUUUUAUUUUCUUCUAUGUGAUUAACCAAGAACCCCCCCUCGUUAGAACCAUUGGUUAACUGACCCAAGCAGGAUGAUUAAGGACUGUGUGGAAAUAAACUUUAACCAAAAGUAUGCUUUAUGGAGAUUGAGUAAAGAACAAGAGCUUUUGGAAUGGCGCAGCAAUAAAUACAGAAUCGCCAUCUUGUCAGGUCUUGCCGAAGGAUUUAUAACCGGGAGGAGGAAUGGAUUUGUUUUCAGACUGCAUUCCUGGUGAAUCUCCUCAGAGGUUGAGAAAGGCGACAGAUUUGUGAAGAUUAACAACGCUAAGACUGUUUUGAGUUAUGGAAGUGAUGUUAUACGGAAAACGUCUGGAUAUGGCUAUUGGAUAAAUAUAUAUAUAUAUAUCCACACAGGAUUACAAACUGUUUUAACCCGCUUGUGGAGACUAUCAGAGGUCACAAAGAGAAAGGAAAAAUAUAUGAAAAUAACAAGAAGAGAUGUGGAAAAACAAUAAGAAAGGACUGGACAGUACUGUGAACAUCAAAUGGUCAGAUUUGUGGAUAUUAAAAGCAGCAAGAAGAAGCAAGAAGAUGAUUGGAUCCCCUUCGGAACUUGAAAUAUGGGUACC